GCUGAGUCCAGAAGAGGCAGUGCUUGUUCUUGCUUGUCCCCCUUGCAUUCCAGUGGCUCCACCAUGAGAAGAGCAGGACCCUUCAGUGUGGGCCCCGUCUGAGUCCAACCCACAUGCACAAGCCACCCAGCUGAACUUGGGCUGGAUCACUGAACCUUAGUCAUCCUGCAGACCUGCAACUCAGGCCCAAAGAGAGGAUGUGCUUAACCCCAGGCCACAGAGCGAGUUAACUAGUGAUGGACCCACAUUUAGCUCAUCCUUAUUUGAGUCAGGUUAAGUCCACACAGCCAGAUGCUCCCAACAGACCUGCAGCUGCCUGCAGAUGGCCAUCGUACCCCGGCCUCCCCAUUUGCCAGCUGGUCUCUCAGUUGCCUCAGCCCUUCCAUCUCCACUGAACAGGGUUCACAGCCCUUGCCCGCCAGGCACCCUUAUCUGAAGAGCUCCAAGCUGGGGUGGGUUUGGUCUUCUCCUGACCUCCGUCCGCUUCCUGGGGCCUGGAACAUCCUGAAGCUAGAACAAAACAGCUAAAGGCAGAAAAGGCGGCAAAUACUCGUUCAGUCAGAAGACAGGAAGACUAGCAGGAGGCUGACUCUGCGAGUAAGACCCACUGGCUUUAGAUUGGUGUUUCUUCCUGAGGCUGGGUCACACCAGGAAACCUUUGAUCCCUCCCUUCCCCUCCUCCCCAGAACCUGGAGCUUCUGUCUCCCACAGCCAGCAGUGGAACCAGUGGUGGCUGAGUAACUGAGGAACUGCAGGAGAGCCUCCAAGAAGAAGUGGAGAGAGGAGAAAAAGAGAGAGGACAGUUGAACAUUCUUCAGGAUCCAUAUGAGUGUGAGCACAUAUCCUCAUGUGCUGGCAUUUGACUGACUGACAGGUUAUGGAGGCCCAAUCUCUCUUUGGCGAUAAAGUGACAGAGGUCAGACCCGGAUAUAAUCUGCCGGGUUGAUUCCUAUAGGAGCAAGAGGAGACAAUCCCCUCCCUCCCUUUUUAGAACCCCAUACUUCUGUGAAUGCAACCUAAGGUCACACUGGCUUUUUAGUAGCUGCGUAAUCCUGUUGACUCAUUUUGCACUUAAUGUUGAAUAAAAAACUGUAAGAUAUUUUCUGUUUCUUGUGCCACUGAGCCAAGCUUUAUGCCCAUUCCAGCUCCCCUUCCCUUA
rnacentral:lncRNA from 1 species